GAUGGCUGACCUGAUGUUCCUGCUAAAUAUUGACACAGCCCAACUGACUCGUGUUUUUGUCAAAGAGUUUAGAAUAUGAAGAAACUCAAUGACUGGAGCACAAUAUGGAUUGCAUUGCAUUUCCAAACCUUCUAUACUUUCAAGUGUGUACUUGCUUCCCCACAUUUCACUACGUAAAGGAAACCUGAAGGCAAGUCACACGAUUUUAAGCACUCUGUACCAAUCAUUCAUCAAUGCUAUGCAAACUCGCGGCGAUUUUGCCAAGUUGGAAAACUUGCCAUCAGAAUCCAACGGAAGGACAAACUUAAUAACCCAUCAUAUCCCCGAGCCCCCAGCGAAAAGACUUCCUUGUGAGUCCCUGGCUCCCAGCCCCUGGACCGGCCACAACGGAGCAGUGUGCUCGGCGGAGAGCCGGGCUGCAGGGCAGCGCGUCCAGGAGCCGCGCCUAAGAGGCGAAUUGAGCUGCUCUAGCCCGGAACGCCGCCGCCCCAGGGCUGGGAAGGCUUGCAAGCCGCUACACCCCUCCCGAGGCUGUGAGCCCGCGCCCGCCCUCGCAGGGACACACGGAAGCGGGCAGCAAGCAGAGAGCCGGGACGAUUCAAGGGACUCACCCGCUCCUCGGCGCGACCAGACGGUAAGUUGCGGCGCAGCUGCUGCGGGGACGUGCUAGCCCCACGCGGUGUCCGAGCCCCGGAGCGUGAAGCCUGCUCUCCCGUGCAGACCCCGCCUCUUUGUAAAUGGCCCGUCCAGCGCCACCUGCAGGUACCGGGCGCCCGCACGGCCCCUGCCGCGGAGGGACAGUCCUCGGAGGUCCCAGCGGCCGAACCAAGGGUUUCCCCACAUUGCAACCGGGCCGCUCCCGGUUUUCUUUCAAACUGCCGUCUUCCGCCAGAGGCCGGCUUCUCCCACUUUCGUUAAUCUCCCGAGGAACGAACAUGCAAUUCUUUGGAGCAGUGGUUCUCAAACUUUAACUUGUAUCGCCUGUAGGCCUUAUUAAAACACUGAUUUGCCCCCUUCCCCUCAUGGUUUCCUGAUCCUCAAGUCUAGGAUAGGGCCUGAGUUUCUGCAUUUCUGGCAAGCUCCCUGGUGAUGAUGGAGCACUCUCGGAUCACACUUGCAGAUGGACUGCUUUAGAGCUUAGCCGGCCCGUUUUAAACUUCGCAGCAACUCUAUGAAGUGACUAAAUCCAGUGUGAAUCUCUGAGAGUGACUUGCCCCCUAAGUUGUACAAAUCUUGUACCCUAAACUGCACGAGGCCUGUCCCCUGGCUGAAGAGGCCUUUAAACCCCACGUUGACUCUUCUUCCUUGCCUCUGAUCUAUUAAAGCCAACUUCCCAUACCCUAACCCAAUCAGGCAUUCAAUCCUAAAGUAAAGCUACCGUCGCUAUUUAAAAGUUUCGGGGGUGUUUUUUUUUUUUUUUUAAGAUUUUAUUUAUUUAUUCGACAGAGAUAGAGACAGCCAGUGAGAGAGGGAACACAAGCAGGGGGAGUGGGAGAGGAAGAAGCAGGCUCAUAGCAGAGGAGCCUGAUGUGGGGCUCGAUCCCACAACACCGGGAUCACGCCCUGAGCUGAAGGCAGACGCUUAACCGCUGUGCCACCCAGGCGCCCCUGGGGGUGUUUUUUAAAAUAUAAGAGGUAUGGAAAAAGAAUGUGUGCGAGGGUGGGGUGGGGGGUUCCUCCUCUGAGUUGGAACCGG
rnacentral:lncRNA from 1 species